UGUCCUAUAGCUCAAUUGGUAGAGCAACUGAUUUUUAAUCAGAAGGUUGGUGGUUCGGGUCCGCCUAGGAUAG
rnacentral:tRNA from 1 species